AAUUUCAUUUUAUUUUGAUGUUGAAGAAGAGUUGUUAAAGGAAAUACCUAAGCCUCCAUCAUAUAUUGAUGGAUUGAAAGUGAAAAUUCUAUAUUUUGGAGAUUCUGGAGGCCUUUUGCAUCUUGUCAUGUGCAGUUGAUCGCCAUUAGUAUUGGGAUUCGAUGUUUUGGAGAUGGCUGCGGAUUGCUCUGAAUGGUCUGUGGAUUGUGAGGUAUCAUGGGCAGCAUUUCCAAUCUGGCUUGGGUUCUGCAUUCCUGUUAUAAAGUACGAUUUUCAAUUCUAGUGCUUAUUGGGGUGAGAAGGAAGAAGAGUAUAUGGUUGUGCUUUAUGUGGAUGGCACAGCCUUGGUCUAUGAUCUCAAUCACGGGACAUCAAAAAAGCUUUGUGAUUUGGAGUCCAGUUCCUCAACAUAACAAUGGUAGAUUGGCAGUGCUAUUGGACAUUGUUUUUAGCAGGCAAUUUCGGUCGUUUGUGUUUGAACAAAUCCCAUUUCUUUAACUCGAACUUCUUCAAACUUGGAUUGAAAUAAAACUAAAAUUGAUCAAAUUCG
rnacentral:misc_RNA from 1 species